GGAUGUGAGGGCGAUCUGACUGUGACAUCUGUCACCCCAUUGCUCGCCAGGGUUGAUUCGGCUGAUCUGGCUGGCUCGUCGGUGUCCCCUUCCUCCCUCAUGGCUCCAUGUGCAUCCCUCCUCACGCUGCGCUCUCAGUCGGUCGAAGAGGACAGCCUUCCCCGAAUAGAGAUGGACUGGUCUUCGGUCAAGGGCAUACUAGUAGCUGCACUCCCCUGCUAGAACCUCCAAACAAGCUCUCAGGCUCCAUUAGUAGGAGAACGUAGGGUAGUCAAGCUUCCAAGACUCCAAACACAUCCAAAUGAGGCACUGCAUGUGGCUGUCUGUCUGUCUUU
ensembl:misc_RNA 7SK 7SK RNA